rnacentral:rRNA from 2 species
GCAGUCGACGAGUUCUGAUUAUUGAAAGGUGCUUGCAUCUUGAUUUAAUUUUGAACGAGUGGCGGACGGGUGAGUAACACGUGGGUAACCUGCCCUUAAGUGGGGGAUAACAUUUGGAAACAGAUGCUAAUACCGCAUAAAUCCAAGAACCGCAUGGUUCUUGGCUGAAAGAUGGCGUAAGCUAUCGCUUUUGGAUGGACCCGCGGCGUAUUAGCUAGUUGGUGAGGUAACGGCUCACCAAGGCAAUGAUACGUAGCCGAACUGAGAGGUUGAUCGGCCACAUUGGGACUGAGACACGGCCCAAACUCCUACGGGAGGCAGCAGUAGGGAAUCUUCCACAAUGGACGCAAGUCUGAUGGAGCAACGCCGCGUGAGUGAAGAAGGCUUUCGGGUCGUAAAACUCUGUUGUUGGAGAAGAAUGGUCGGCAGAAUAACUGUUGUCGGCGUGACGGUAUCCAACCAGAAAGCCACGGCUAACUACGUGCCAGCAGCCGCGGUAAUACGUAGGUGGCAAGCGUUAUCCGGAUUUAUUGGGCGUAAAGCGAGCGCAGGCGGUUUUUUAAGUCUGAUGUGAAAGCCCUCGGCUUAACCGAAGAAGUGCAUCGGAAACUGGGAAACUUGAGUGCAGAAGAGGACAGUGGAACUCCAUGUGUAGCGGUGAAAUGCGUAGAUAUAUGGAAGAACACCAGUGGCGAAGGCGGCUGUCUGGUCUGUAACUGACGCUGAAGCUCGAAAGCAUGGGUAGCGAACAGGAUUAGAUACCCUGGUAGUCCAUGCCGUAAACGAUGAAUGCUAGGUGUUGGAGGGUUUCCGCCCUUCAGUGCCGCAGCUAACGCAUUAAGCAUUCCGCCUGGGGAGUACGACCGCAAGUGAAACUCAAAGAAUUGACUGGGGCCCGCACAAGCGUGGAG